AGAGUUUGAUUCUGGCUCAGGAUGAACGCUAGCGACAGGCUUAACACAUGCAAGUCGAGGGGCAGCAUAAAAGUAGCAAUACUUUGGUGGCGACCGGCGCACGGGUGAGUAACGCGUAUGCAACCUACCUAUCAGAGGGGAAUAACCCGGCGAAAGUCGGACUAAUACCGCAUAAACAGGGGCACCGCAUGGUGAUAUUUGUUAAAGAAAUUCGCUGAUAGAUGGGCAUGCGUUCCAUUAGGUAGUUGGUGAGGUAACGGCUCACCAAGCCGACGAUGGAUAGGGAACUGAGAGGUUGGUCCCCCACACUGGUACUGAGACACGGACCAGACUCCUACGGGAGGCAGCAGUGAGGAAUAUUGGUCAAUGGGCGGGAGCCUGAACCAGCCAAGUCGCGUGAAGGAAGAAGGAUCUAUGGUUCGUAAACUUCUUUUGCAGGGGAAUAAAGUGCAGGACGUGUCCUGUUUUGUAUGUACCCUGAGAAUAAGGAUCGGCUAACUCCGUGCCAGCCGCGGC
rnacentral:rRNA from 1 species